rnacentral:piRNA from 1 species
UUCACUCAGCAGGGGGAAUUCCGUGUAGAC